rnacentral:rRNA from 1 species
GUCAUUAUGCUUGUCUCAAAGCUUAAGCCAUGCAAGUGUCAGUACAAACCGCACCAAGGUGAAACCGCAAACGGCUCAUUAAAUCAGUUUUAGUUCACUUGAGCGAAAACGUCCAAGUUUCUGGAUAACUGUGGCAAUUCUAGAGCUAAUACAUGCAACCGAGUCCCGACCAGUAAUGGGAAGGACGCUUUUAUUAGAUCAAAAUCAAUCGGGGCCGGCCACCGCGCCGCCCCGUCUGACUUGAUGACUCUGAAUAACACACAGCUGAUCGCACGGUCUCCGCGCCGGCGACCCAUCUUUCAAAUGCCUGACUUAUCAACUGUCGAUGGUAGGCUCUACGUCUACCAUGGUUGUAACGGGUGACGGGGAAUCAGGGUUCGAUUCCGGAGAGGGAGCCUGAGAAACGGCUACCACAUCCAAGGAAGGCAGCAGGCACGCAAAUUACCCACUCCCGGCACGGGGAGGUAGUGACAAAAAAUAACGAUACGGGACUCAUCCGAGGCCCCGUAAUCGGAAUGAGCACACUCUAAAUCAUUUAACAAGUACCUAUUGGAGGGCAAGUCUGGUGCCAGCCAGCCGCGA